UAACAGUUCAGGCGGGAGCCGGAAGCCCAGCGCGGGACCAGUUGCGCCGUGGCCCCCUGUUGUGCCGCGGCGGAGAGGCUCAGUCAUGCAGGAAAACCUCAGAUUUGCUUCAUCAGGAGAUGAUAUUAAAAUAUGGGAUGCUUCAUCUAUGACACUGGUGGAUAACUUCAACCCUCACACGGCACCACAUGGAAUCAGUUCAAUGUGUUGGAGCAGCAAUAAUAACUUUCUAGUGACAGCAUCUUCUGGUGGUGACAAAAUAGUUGUUUCAAGUUGCAAAUGUAAACCUGUUCCACUUUUGGAACUUGCUGAAGGGCAAAAGCAGACAUGUGUUGAUUUAAAUUCUUCAUCUAUGUAUUUGGUAAGCGGAGGCCUAAAUAGCACUGUUAAUAUUUGGGAUUUAAAAUCUAAAAGAAUUCAUCGAUCUCUUAAGGAUCAUAAAGAUGAAGUAACUUGUGUAACAUACAAUUGGAAUGAUUGCUACAUUGCUUCUGGAUCUCUAAGUGGAGAAAUUAUUUUGCACAGUGUAACCACUAACAUAUCUAGUACUCCUUUUGGCCAUGGUAGUAACCAGUCUGUUCGGCACUUGAAGUACUCCUUGUUUAAGAAAUCAUUACUGGGCAGUGUUUCAGAUAAUGGAAUAGUAACUCUCUGGGAUGUGAAUAGUCAGAGUUCACACCAUAAUUUCGAUAGCACACAUAAAGCUCCAGCUUCCGGCAUCUGUUUCUCUCCUGUCAAUGAAUUGCUGUUUGUAACCAUAGGCUUGGAUAAAAGGAUCAUCCUCUAUGACACCUCAAGUAAGAAGCUAGUGAAAACUUUGGUGGCUGAGGCUCCUCUUACUGCAGUAGAUUUCAUGCCUGAUGGAGCCACUUUGGCUAUUGGAUCUUCCCGUGGGAAAAUAUAUCAGUAUGAUUUAAGGAUGCUAAAAUCCCCAGUGAAAACCAUCAAUGCUCACAAAACAUCUGUGCAGUGUAUAGCGUUUCAGUACUCCACUACUCUUACUAAGUCCAGUUCAAAUAAAGGCUGUUCAAAUAAGGCCACAGCAGUGAACAAGCGAACCGUCAAUGUGAGCACUGGUGGAGGGGUUCAGAACUCUGGAAUUGUCAGAGAAGCAGCCACUGUGUCUGUUGCCACAGUUCCGCCACAGCCUGUGGCACCAGCUGUGGGGAAAGGAACAAGUGCCAUUCAGAGCAAAGCAGGUUUGUCACGAAGCAUAAACACUGAAAUUUUACCUAAGGAAACAGAUGGUGGAAAAAGUCAGGACUUCUCUAGCUUUGAAGAUACUAGCAAGAGUAGUUUAGGUGACAUGUUCUCACCUAUCAGAGAUGAUGCUGUACUUAACAAGGGAAGUGAUGAAUCUGUAGGCAAAGGAGAAGGACUUGACUUUCUACCACAAUUAAAUUCAGUGUUUCCUCCAAGAAAAACUCCAGUUACUUCAGGCACUUUGGCAUUACACUCUAGUCCUCUUAAUGUUUUUAUGGGAUCACCAGGGAAAGAAGAAAAUGAAAAUCAUGAUUUGACAGCUGAUCCUAAGAAGACAUAUCUGGGAAAACCAGAACCUAAAGACUCCUUCAAACAGUUUGCCAGAUUGAUCUCCUCUGGUGCUGAACCUGGAAAUAUAAAUACCUCUCUAUCAACUAACCAAACAAGAAAUCUUGAGAAAUUUGAAAAGCCAGAGAAAGAUAUUGAAACCCAAUUAAUAUAUGAACCCCCAGUCAAUGGCUCCUCUACUCCAGACCCAAAGAUAGCAUCUUCUGUCACUGCCGGAGUUGCCAGUUCGCUCUCAGAAAAAAUAGUGGACACCAUUGGAAACAAUCGGUCAAAUGCUCCGCUGACAUCUGUACAAAUCCGUUUUAUUCAGAACAUGAUACAAGAAACCUUGGAUGACUUUAGAGAAGCAUGCCAUAGGGACAUUAUGAAUUUGCAAGUGGAGAUGAUUAAACAGUUUCAUAUGCAGAUGAAUGAAAUGCACUCCUUGCUGGAAAGAUAUUCAGUGAAUGAAGGUUUAGUGGCUGAAAUUGAAAAAUUACGAGAAGAAAACAGAAGGCUACGGGCCCACUUUUGAAAAUUCAUGAAUACUUUCAAGAUUUUGUAAUUUGCAAAGUCUCUGGCAACGAAGAACUAUGUAGAAUCAGUAUUUUCAUGGCCUACAGGUGGAAACUUUUUUUUCAUGUAAAGCAAUAACCUUUCCAAUUUGGUUACCAAGGUUAUACUUAUUAAUAGAAACUCAGUGCAACAUGAACAUAAAAUCAGAAGCUUCUGAUGAAUAUAUUUCUCCAGAUUGAAUUGGCCAGAGCAUGUGGACAGACCUUGAUCUAACCAAGGAAAAUGUACACUCUUGGGAAAGACUGUGUAGCAUCCUGUAAUGACAGAGAUUGUUUCACAGGAAAAUAUAGGAAUAUGGACAGUAGGUGGGCUGCGUGUCUGGAGCACACACUGGGGAGUUCGUGGGAAUCUGUAAACCUACAUCCACGUGCCACUCAGUAGAUGCCACCAAGAAGCAGCAACUCCUCCCCUAAGCAUACUGAGUGGGCUUGAUUUCUCCCCGCUGUCUUCCCCUUUGCAUGCAGGUGCUGUGAAGCAGAAGUGGACAUUCAGUACUAGGUCUUAAUAAAGGGUCAUGAAAUAAGCAUGGCAGGGGCAGGCCCUGGCCCCAGGUGUGCCCUCCUGAUACUUCAACUGAUGUCCUUUGCUACCAUGUC